rnacentral:piRNA from 1 species
UGUGACGUUGAGGAGCAUAGCAAGUCUCA